AUGCUUCGGGCAUGCCCACUUCUGUUGGCCCGGUCCGUCUGCCUGUUGUCUCAGCUUUGCUCCAGACUGAGCCCGAAGAGAUGCUUCAGACCGACAUGUGCAUUUGGAAUGGAUGCCUUUCCCCGACUGUUAUGUGAUAAAUCUGCCAACCUGAAUUUCCUUUCUGUGAGUCACAAGAUGAGCUCGACACAGAAUUUAAACAUGGAUCAGAUGCCCCUCACGUGA
rnacentral:lncRNA from 1 species